rnacentral:tRNA from 1 species
CGGGGUGUAGCUCAGCCCAGUUAGAGUACGCCUCUGGGGCGUGAGGUCGCUAGUUCGAGUCUACUCACCCCGA